rnacentral:rRNA from 1 species
GUUUGAUCCUGGCUCAGAAUCAACGCUGGCGGCGCGCUAACACAUGAAGGACCUAGAAAGGCUCCUUCGGGGGCUGAGUACAGUGGGAAGGGUAAGUAACACGUGGAUACCUGCCCUCGAGUGGGGAAUAACUCUGGGAAACCGGGGCUAAUACCGCAUACUCUCUUGAGAGAAGAAAGCAGCAAUGCGCUCGGGGAGGGGUCCGCGGCUGAUUAGCUAGUUGGUGGGGUAAAGGCCUACCAAGGCGACGAUCAGUAGCCGGCCUGAGAGGGCACACGGCCACACUGGCACUGAGACACGGGCCAGACCCCUACGGGAGGCAGCAGUGGGGAAUCUUGCACAAUGGGGGAAACCCUGAUGCAGCGACGCCGCGUGAGCGAAGAAGCCUUUCGGGGUGUAAAGCUCUUACGCCAGGGACGAUAAUGACGGUACCUGGAGAAGCAGCUGCGGCUAACUACGUGCCAGCAGCCGCGGUAAUACGUAGGUGGCGAGCGUUGUUCGGAUUUAUUGGGCGUAAAGGGUCUGUAGGAGGUUUGUUAAAUACGGGGUGAAAUCCGGAAGCUCAACUUCCGAAUUGCCCUGUAGACUGACGGACUAGAGUACCGGAGAGGUAAGCGGAAUACCAGGUGUAGCGGUGGAAUGCGUAGAUAUCUGGUAGAACACCAACAGCGAAGGCAGCUUACUGGACGGAAACUGACUCUGAAAGACGAAAGCAUGGGGAGCAAACAGGAUUAGAUACCCUGGUAGUCCAUGCCGUAAACGUUGUCAACUUGAUGUGGGGGGAUUUAGUCCUCUCCGUAUCGAAGCUAACGCGAU